GACGAACGCUGGCGGCGUGCUUAACACAUGCAAGUCGAACGGAAAGGCCCUGCUUUUGUGGGGUGCUCGAGUGGCGAACGGGUGAGUAACACGUGAGUAACCUGCCCUUGACUUUGGGAUAACUUCAGGAAACUGGGGCUAAUACCGGAUAGGAGCUCCUGCUGCAUGGUGGGGGUUGGAAAGUUUCGGCGGUUGGGGAUGGACUCGCGGCUUAUCAGCUUGUUGGUGGGGUAGUGGCUUACCAAGGCUUUGACGGGUAGCCGGCCUGAGAGGGUGACCGGCCACAUUGGGACUGAGAUACGGCCCAGACUCCUACGGGAGGCAGCAGUGGGGAAUAUUGCACAAUGGGCGGAAGCCUGAUGCAGCAACGCCGCGUGCGGGAUGACGGCCUUCGGGUUGUAAACCGCUUUCGCCUGUGACGAAGCGUGAGUGACGGUAAUGGGUAAAGAAGCACCGGCUAACUACGUGCCAGCAGCCGCGGUGAUACGUAGGGUGCGAGCGUUGUCCGGAUUUAUUGGGCGUAAAGGGCUCGUAGGUGGUUGAUCGCGUCGGAAGUGUAAUCUCGGGGCUUAACCCUGAGCGUGCCUUCGAUACGGGUUGACUUGAGGAAGGUAGGGGAGAAUGGAAUUCCUGGUGGAGCGGUGGAAUGCGCAGAUAUCAGGAGGAACACCAGUGGCGAAGGCGGUUCUCUGGGCCUUUCCUGACGCUGAGGAGCGAAAGCGUGGGGAGCGAACAGGCUUAGAUACCCUGGUAGUCCACGCUGUAAACGGUGGGUACUAGGUGUGGGGUCCAUUCCACGGGUUCCGUGCCGUAGCUAACGCUUUAAGUACCCCGCCUGGGGAGUACGGCCGCAAGGCUAAAACUCAAAGGAAUUGACGGGGCCCCGCACAAGCGGCGGAGCAUGCGGAUUAAUUCGAUGCAACGCGUAGAACCUUACCUGGGUUUGACAUGGAUCGGGAGCGCUCAGAGAUGGGUGUGCCUCUUUUGGGGUCGGUUCACAGGUGGUGCAUGGCUGUCGUCAGCUCGUGUCGUGAGAUGUUGGGUUAAGUCCCGCAACGAGCGCAACCCUUGUUCACUGUUGCCAGCACGUUAUGGUGGGGACUCAGUGGAGACCGCCGGGGUCAACUCGGAGGAAGGUGGGGAUGACGUCAAGUCAUCAUGCCCCUUAUGUCCAGGGCUUCACGCAUGCUACAAUGGCUGGUACAGAGAGUGGCGAGCCUGUGAGGGUGAGCGAAUCUCGGAAAGCCGGUCUCAGUUCGGAUUGGGGUCUGCAACUCGACCUCAUGAAGUCGGAGUCGCUAGUAAUCGCAGAUCAGCAACGCUGCGGUGAAUACGUUCCCGGGGCU
rnacentral:rRNA from 1 species